UGUCACUAGUCAGAAAGGUGUCACUGGGGC
rnacentral:piRNA from 1 species